CAGCCGCCGCGGUAAUACGUAGGCAGCAAGCGUUGUUCGGAAUUACUGGGCGUAAAGAGUGUGUAGGUGGUGUCGUAAGUUUGGUGUGAAAUCUCCCGGCUUAACUGGGAGGGUGCGCCGAAGACUGCGAUGCUUGAGUAUGGGAGAGGAAAGCGGAAUUCCUGGUGUAGCGGUGAAAUGCGUAGAUAUCAGGAGGAACACCUGCGGUGUAGACGGCUUUCUGGACCAUUACUGACACUGAGACACGAAAGCGUGGGUAGCAAACAGG
rnacentral:rRNA from 1 species